AUACCGGGCCUUUUUGGGCUUGGUAAUUGGAAUGAGGGAGAGUUAAACGGACCAUCGAGUAUCCAUUGGAGGGCAAGUCUGGUGCCAGCAGCUGCGGUAAUACCAGCUCCAAUAGCGUAUAUUAAAGUUGUUGCAGUUAAAAAGCUCGUAGUUGGACUUGUGUGCGCUGUCCGCGGGUGGCCUGCGCCCAAAAGGGCGUUUCGGUUCGGCCCCGGUGGCGCCUUGAAAUCUGCAGCUGGGGGGACGUUGGCCUUAACUGGUCGGCGACCGCACGCCGGCUGCUCGGUUACUGUGAGAAAAUUAGAGUGUUCAAGGCAGGCAUUGGGUGCAAUUGAAUACAUUAGCAUGGAAUAAUAAAAUAUGGCUCCUGCCGUAUUUUGUUGGUUUUGACUGGUGGGAGUAAUGAUUGAUAGGGACGGUUGGGGGUGCUAGUAUUGAGCGGCCAGAGGUGAAAUUCAUGGAUUCGCUCAAGACUAACUUAUGCGAAAGCAUUCACCAAGGACGUCCUCUUUAAUCAAGAACGAAAGUUGGGGGAUCGAAGACGAUCAGAUACCGUCGUAGUCUCAACCAUAAACUAUGUCGACUUGGGAUCGGCGGUAGUUUUUUCAUUAAGACACUGUCGGGACCACGGGAGAAAUCAAAGUGUCUGGACUCUGGGGGAAGUAUGGUCGCAAGGCUGAAACUUGAGGGAAUUGACGGAAGGGCACCACCAGGAGUGGAGCCUGCGGCUUAAUUUGACACAACACGGGGAAACUUACCAGGUCCAGAGAUGUAGAGGAUUGACAGAUUGAAGCUCUUUCUUGAUCACUUCGGUGGUGGUGCAUGGCCGUUCUUAGUUGGUGGAGUGAUUUGUCUGGUUAAUUCCGUUAACGAACGAGACCUCAGCCUGCUAGUGUAGUCGGCUGGAUUGCCUUUGGCGAUCCGUGAUUUCGACUUCUUAGAGGGACAAUCGACGCGCAGUCGAUGGAAGUUUGAGGCAAUAACAGGUCUGUGAUGCCCUUAGAUGUUCUGGGCCGCACGCGCGCUACACUGCUGGGCUCAGCGAGUUUUACUUGGCCGAGAGGCCCGGUUAAUCUUGUGAAAUCCCAGCGUGCUUGGGCUCGCCUCCUGCAACUGGAGGCGCCAACGAGGAAUUCCUAGUAGACGCAGGUCAUCAACCUGCAUCGAUUACGUCCCUGCCCUUUGUACACACCGCCCGUCGUUCCAUAAGAGUGAGGCAUCCGGUGAAUUCUCGGGAGAGCCUGGGCGUGGCCAGCAAUGGUCUGCUCGGGUUUGAACUUGCGUAAACUUGGUGCCUAUGAUUAGGG
rnacentral:rRNA from 1 species